CCUACGGGAGGCAGCAGUGAGGAAUAUUGGUCAAUGGGCGUAAGCCUGAACCAGCCAAGUCGCGUGAGGGAUGAAGGUCCUAUGGAUCGUAAACCUCUUUUAUAAGGGAAUAAAGUGCGGUACGUGUCCCGUUUGGUAUGUCACUUAUGAAUAAGGAUCGGCUAAAUCCGUGCCAGCCGCCGCGGUAAUACGGAGGAUCCCAGCGUUAUCCGGAUUUAUUGGGGGUAAAGGGUGCGUAGGCGGAAUGCCAAGUCAGCGGUAAAAUCGCGGGGCUCAACCUCGCUUCGCCGUUGAAACUGGCGUUCUUGAGUGGGCGAGAAGUAUGCGGAAUGCGUGGUGUAGCGGUGAAAUGCAUAGAUAUCACGCAGAACUCCGAUUGCGAAGGCAGCAUACCGGCGCCCAACUGACGCUGAAGCACGAAAGCGUGGGUAUCGAACAGGAUUAGAUACCCCAGUAGUC
rnacentral:rRNA from 1 species